rnacentral:tRNA from 1 species
GGGGAUUUAGCUUAGCGGCAUAAGUGCAUGCCUGGCAAGCGUGAGGUCAUGAGUUCAAUCCCUG